GAUGUACUUCCUCCGUUUCAAAUUACUCGUCGCAAAAAUGGAUGUACCUAGAACUAAAAUACAUCUAGAUACAUUCAUACCGCGACAAGUAAUUUAGAAUGGAGGGAGUACGUG
rfam:Triticum aestivum genome assembly, contig: Triticum_aestivum_CS42_TGACv1_scaffold_328999_4BS